UACGUAGGGGGCAAGCGUUGUCCGGAAUCAUUGGGCGUAAAGAGCUCGUAGGCGGCUUGUUGCGUCGACUGUGAAAACCCGCGGCUUAACCGCGGGCUUGCAGUUGAUACGGGCAGGCUAGAGUUCGGUAGGGGAGACUGGAAUUCCUGGUGUAGCGGUGAAAUGCGCAGAUAUCAGGAGGAACACCGGUGGCGAAGGCGGGACUCUGGGCCGAUACUGACGCUGAGGAGCGAAAGCGUGGGGAGCGAACAGG
rnacentral:rRNA from 1 species